AUGUGCAAAUAUAAAGCAUGUGAGCGGGUAUGCCCGUUGUACGUGGAGCCAGGAAGGAGGCGGGGCAGCCAUCCGCUGGUUUCUCCUGCCUGCCUCUGCAAACUACUCUGGUUACCCGGCCUCCACCGCAGGCCCUUGGCAGGGGCGGUGCGCUGGGUCUGCGCGGUGCUGGCAGCCGCAGAGUGGAGGGUGAACCCGAUGGCCUCUUCAGUCUAUUUAGCAGGCUCUGAGAUGUAUUGUUGCUCCGUUUGCCCCGCGCUGCUCGGCGCCUCAUCUCUCCGCAUCCAGACGCGCAGUUUCUCACCUCCAGAGAGCAGCAGAGAUCUCGGGCAGGCUGCUGCGGCUAAUGGUGGCAAUUAAUAACUUGUCAUAAUCCGGAGGAUGAAAGGGAAGGCGCCCUAUCAGCAGGCGGGUCAUGGCGCUGCUCGCAAGCAAAUGAGGUGCAGGUGUGGCCUCCACUACGCGCUGACACCGGGUGCGCGGUGCCAGCCCGGGACCCGCGGGCCGCUGGUCGCUCCCCGGGCGCGCACGGCCCCCGCCCGGUCCACCCCGCUGCGGAGAAAUCCCCGGAACGUAUCAAUAAAUCAGAGCACUCGGCACA
rnacentral:lncRNA from 1 species